GUGUAGGAUAGGUGGGAGGCUUUGAAGCGGGGACGCUAGUUCUCGUGGAGCCAACCUUGAAAUACCACCCUGGUUUGUUUGAGGUUCUAACCUUGGUCCGUUAUCCGGAUCGGGGACAGUGCAUGGUAGGCAGUUUGACUGGGGCGGUCUCCUCCUAAAGUGUAACGGAGGAGUUCGAAGGUACGCUAGAUACGGUCGGACAUCGUGUUGAUAGUGCAAUGGCAUAAGCGUGCUUAACUGCGAGACUGACAAGUCGAGCAGGUACGAAAGUAGGACAUAGUGAUCCGGUGGUUCUGUAUGGAAGGGCCAUCGCUCAACGGAUAAAAGGUACUCUGGGGAUAACAGGCUGAUACCGCCCAAGAGUUCAUAUCGACGGCGGUGUUUGGCACCUCGAUGUCGGCUCAUCACAUCCUGGGGCUGUAGCCGGUCCCAAGGGUAUGGCUGUUCGCCAUUUAAAGAGGUACGUGAGCUGGGUUUAAAACGUCGUGAGACAGUUUGGUCCCUAU
rnacentral:rRNA from 1 species